rnacentral:misc_RNA from 1 species
GAUGAAGAACGUAGUGAAAUGCGAUACUUGGUGUGAAUUGCAGAAUCCCGUGAACCAUCGAGUCUUUGAACGCAAGUUGCGCCCGAAGCCAUUAGGCCGAGGGCACGCCUGCCUGGGCGUCACACGUCGUUGCCCCCCCAUCUACUCCUUCGGGAUUGCGGGGGGCGGAUGAUGGCCUCCCGUGCGCCUCGUCGCGCGGUUGGCAUAAAUGCCAAGUCCUCGGCGACGCACGCCACGACAAUCGGUGGUUGCGAAACCUCGGUUGCCCGUCGUGUGCGGUCGUCGCGCAACGAGGGCUCGAAAAAAUUGCCGGGCUCCGGCUCGGCUUUCAACGCGACCCCAGGUCAGGCGGGGUUACCCGCUGAAUUUAAGCAUAUCAAUAAGCGGAGGA